rnacentral:tRNA from 1 species
UAGUGGGUGGCUGAAGAUAGGUGAAGGGCUGUAAACCUUUUUAUGGAAGUUAUUCCUCCACUAU